rnacentral:piRNA from 1 species
UAUCUGACUAAGGUUGUAGGCAAGGGGC